rnacentral:rRNA from 1 species
AUUGAACGCUGGCGGCAGGCUUAACACAUGCAAGUCGAGCGGGGUGAUGGUGCUUGCACUAUCACUUAGCGGCGGACGGGUGAGUAAUGCUUAGGAAUCUGCCUAUUAGUGGGGGACAACAUCUCGAAAGGGAUGCUAAUACCGCAUACGUCCUACGGGAGAAAGCAGGGGAUCACUUGUGACCUUGCGCUAAUAGAUGAGCCUAAGUCGGAUUAGCUAGUUGGUGGGGUAAAGGCCUACCAAGGCGACGAUCUGUAGCGGGUCUGAGAGGAUGAUCCGCCACACUGGGACUGGAACACGGCCCAGACUCCUACGGGAGGCAGCAGUGGGGAAUAUUGGACAAUGGGGGGAACCCUGAUCCAGCCAUGCCGCGUGUGUGAAGAAGGCCUUAUGGUUGUAAAGCACUGUAAGCGAGGAGGAGGCUCUUUUGGUUAAUACCCAGAAUGAGUGGACGUUACUCGCAGAAUAAGCACCGGCUAACUCUGUGCCAGCCGCCGCUGUAAGAC